AUCUCUGACUUUAAGAGGUUUGGAGAGUGGUUUAGUUGGAAGACUGCUGCUGUGCAGACACCUGCAAAACAUUGAACUUAAGCUGGCACAGCUGGAGGGAGGGAUAGCUGAGACUGAUGGGUGAUUGCACUGCUGUGCUCCAGUGCCCUCUGUCUCCCGCAGGAAUGAGAGUCUCUUGCUAGUGGAAAGUAGAUGCCUGAAUAUUUGGAUGGAUCUGGACUUCGGUUUUGAGAACUUGAUAGCUCUAAUGACCAGGAAGGACUGGCUGGAGAGGCAUUGCUCUGAAGUGUAGCUGGGUUUAUCAGAAUCCCUUUGCCAUUCCUGAAGUAGGUGAAGAUUGUUACCUCUGCAGUUAUAAUGGUCGACUGCAGGAAACUCAGGAGCGUGAAGGAUUCAUUACUUGACAGAGCAAAUAAUAUAUUUUUUUUCACCAAACAAGUAAUAAAUGAUUCGGAGGAAGAAAGAUUUUUAAAUAUCAGUGGACUCUGUUCAUGGUCAUAUUGCAUCACGUGGAAGAAAAGACAAAAAUCAGUGAAGGAGUUUCAAGAACAUUCAGGUAAACAAGAACUUAAUGCGGGGAUACAACCAAGGAUAGUCCUUAACCAAGGCCAGACCUCAAAUUAAUGUUCCUGGAGAUAUAGAGAGGCUGUCAUGAUAUUUUAUUCCUUUCUGCUUCUGAUAGAAGAACAAGAAUUCUUCUUGAAGGACAGGGCAAUUUCUGUUGCAAAACACACUAUCCUGAGUAGCAGUAGUAAGACCUAAAUCCAUAGAUUUCUUCUUUGGUUUCAUAUAUUUGAUAGCUUCUAAUCCCUUAACAGUGCUUGCUUUGUGUGAUUUGGUUUUUAAUUGCAUUUCUCUGAAUUAG